UACGAAGGGGGCUAGCGUUGCUCGGAAUUACUGGGCGUAAAGCGCACGUAGGCGGCUUUCUAAGUCGGGGGUGAAAUCCUGGAGCUCAACUCCAGAACUGCCUUCGAUACUGGAGAGCUUGAGUCCGGGAGAGGUGAGUGGAACUGCGAGUGUAGAGGUGAAAUUCGUAGAUAUUCGCAGGAACACCAGUGGCGAAGGCGGCUCACUGGCCCGGUACUGACGCUGAGGUGCGAAAGCGUGGGGAGCAAACAGG
rnacentral:rRNA from 1 species